GAUAUACUACGGGUGAAAUCCUAA
rnacentral:siRNA from 1 species